AUUGAACGCUGGCGGCAGGCCUAACACAUGCAAGUCGAGCGGAUGAAGGGAGCUUGCUCCUGGAUUCAGCGGCGGACGGGUGAGUAAUGCCUAGGAAUCUGCCUGGUAGUGGGGGAUAACGUCCGGAAACGGGCGCUAAUACCGCAUACGUUCUGAGGGAGAAAGUGGGGGAUCUUCGGACCUCACGCUAUCAGAUGAGCCUAGGUCGGAUUAGCUAGUUGGUGGGGUAAAGGCCUACCAAGGCGACGAUCCGUAACUGGUCUGAGAGGAUGAUCAGUCACACUGGAACUGAGACACGGUCCAGUCUCCUACGGGAGGCAGCAGUGGGGAAUAUUGGACAAUGGGCGAAAGCCUGAUCCAGCCAUGCCGCGUGUGUGAAGAAGGUCUUCGGAUUGUAAAGCACUUUAAGUUGGGAGGAAGGGCAGUAAGUUAAUACCUUGCUGUUUUGACGUUACCAACAGAAUAAGCACCGGCUAACUUCGUG
rnacentral:rRNA from 1 species